rnacentral:rRNA from 1 species
UGACUGAAAAUAAGUAGGGAAGCACGUGAGCUGACUGUCAAGAAAAGCCGCUAUUGUUUGCAGGAUACCCGUACCGUAAACCGACACGGGUGGAUGAGGAGAGAAUCCUAAGGCCGACGGGAGAAGCAUUGUUAAGGAACUCGGCAAAAUGACUCCGUAACUUCGGGAGAAGGAGUGCCAGUAAGAUGGCCGCAGAGAAUUGGCCCAAGCAACUGUUUAGCAAAAACACAGGUCUAUGCAAAACCGAAAGGUGAGGUAUAUGGGCUGACGCCUGCCCGGUGCUGGAAGGUUAAGGGGAGAGGUUAGCGCAAGCGAAGCUUUGAACUUAAGCCCCAGUAAACGGCGGCCGUAACUAUAACGGUCCUAAGGUAGCGAAAUUCCUUGUCGGGUAAGUUCCGACCCGCACGAAAGGCGUAAUGAUUUGGGCACUGUCUCAACAAUGCACCCGGUGAAAUUGAAAUACCAGUGAAGAUGCUGGUUACCUGCGCCAGGACGGAAAGACCCCAUGGAGCUUUACUCCAGCUUGAUACUGGGAUUCGGUAUUGCAUGUACAGGAUAGGUGGGAGGCUAGGAAAUGGUAACGCCAGUUGCCAUGGAGCCAAUGUUGGGAUACCACCCUUGCAGUACUGGGUUUCUAACCAGCAGCCGUGAUCCGGCUGGGGGACAAUGUCAGGUGGGGAGUUUGACUGGGGCGGUCGCCUCCGAAAGGGUAUCGGAGACGCUCAAAGGUUCCCUCAGAAUGGUUGGAAACCAUUCGAAGAGUGCAAAGGCAGAAGGGAGCUUGACUGCGACACCGACGGGUGGAGCAGGUACGAAAGUAGGACUUAGUGAUCCGGUGGUAUAAAGUGGGAUUGCCAUCGCUCAACGGAUAAAAGCUACCCUGGGAUAACAGGCUUAUCACUCCCAAGAGUUCACAUCGACGGAGUGGUUUGGCACCUCGAUGUCGGCUCAUCGCAUCCUGGGGCUGAAGUAGGUCCCAAGGGUUGGGCUGUUCGCCCAUUAAAGCGGUACGCGAGCUGGGUUCAGAACGUCGUGAGACAGUUCGGUCCCUAUCCGGCGUGGGCGUAAGAUAUUUGAGAGGAGCUGUCCUUAGUACGAGAGGACCGGGAUGGACUGGCCGCUGGUGUAUCUGUUGUCUUACCAAAGGCAUAGCAGAGUAGCCAAGCCGGGAAGGGAUAAACGCUGAAGGCAUCUAAGCGUGAAGCCCCCCUCAAGAUGAGAUAUCUCAUAACGUAAAGUUAGUAAGACCCCUUGAAGACGACGAGGUAGAUAGGGCAGAGGUGGAAGUGUGGUAACACAUGGAGCUGACUGUUACUAAUAGGUCGAGGGCAUAAUC